CUCAGACUCUUAAGCUGUUAGGCAUUGUGGGAGUCGAAGUCCAAAACACCUGGAGGGCCCAAGUUGGCCCAUGCCUGUUCUAGAAGGUGUGUAUUGGAGGAAGUGUUCCUAUCUCUUGCAAAUGAAGAUGCUGCCAACUGACCCUCCUGCAUAUUUCUUUAACUUGGGAGUUCUGCAAGGUCCCUCGUCAACUUGUGGAAGCAAUCAAUGCAUGAGUCACCAUGCUGACUUGACUCACAGCAUAUCUAGUAAUAACAGAAGAAAGGAACACAUGCUAUGAAUAUUUUUUUAUCAGCAAUUACAGCUUGGACCCUUUUCUGCCAAAAGGCUAAUUUACCAGAGGAUACAGAAUUGAUUUUUUUAAGGCAGUUGCCAUCAUGUAAGAAUAAAAGCCUGUGUCUCAAAGGUAUGCCUCUAAAAAGUAUUGUUCAAAGUUAGCACUUUUUAGAGUUAGUGGAUGGUGGUGGGGAGCUGGACCAAAUGAUGAAAUACUUCCUACAUACAAAUAUAUACAGAGCCAAGGAGCAGCCAUUUCACCAGGCUGUAAAUAGGGGAAAUGAAGCAAAGUACGUUCAAAAUCAGCCUUCCUGUUUGUCAGAUUUAAUCCCUUCCUUAUUGUUACCCAGCAGCCAUUCCAAACUAAGGAACUUUCCAUCCAUUUCUAGCUAUAUGUUCUAAAUCUUACAGAGAACCAACAUAGUAUUGUAGUUUGAGUGUUGGAGACAGGAGACCAAGCUGCAAAUCUCCACUAGGGAAUUUGGUGACCUUAAGCAAAUUGCACUUUCUCAGCCUCAAAGGAAGACAAUUGCAAACUCUGCACAAUUCAUGCCAAGAGAACCCUAUGAUAACACAUAAAAAAUCUUGAAAGCACACAGCAACAUCAAAAAAUCAUAUGUUCUGAAGUGACACCAUCCUGAGAGAUCUGUGCUAUAUGCUAUUUAUGAAUAUAUAGUUUGGCCCUAAUCAAGGAUGCCAUGUUUAGCAGACUGAAUUGUUGAUGACUAGGGCUCUUGGAGGUCUCUCAUUCAUUUGUGUCCUUGUAUGUACCUUCAAGUCACU
rnacentral:lncRNA from 11 species